GAUGUGAAUCAAGAGGUGAUCUUCAAUGGGUAAAGAAUGUAGGACUGAGUACACAUCCCUGGAGAACUCCUGUGCUUUUUUUGCAAUUUCCUUUGGGUUUGUUAUCCCUGCAGACAGAAAUAGACAGAAGCCGGGACAAGCAGGAACAGGGAAGGUUUAGCCGACGAUGUCAUGGGCCCCGCGGUUUCGCUGCAGGAGUUUCAACUUGUGUAUGAUCAAGUAUUUGUUCCAGGUUGCUGCCAUCGGACCGAUUUCACCACAUUGGAUCCAGAAUAUGUUUGACAAACAGAGGACUAAGUGUCUGCAAGGUGUCCCUCAGCUGACUAAUCAUCACUACUCCACCUCCGUGCAUCAAGACAUACACCAGAGAAUUGACUUAUAAAACCCUGAGUGCUUAAGGUACACCCAAGGACUGGAAGAGAUGUUUUCAUCCGGCCUCACAUUAUUCCCUCUGAUGAACGCUGGAAGUAGCUUUGUGUAACUUCGACAACCACAUCAGAAGAGACAUCCCACGCAGAGCCAGUUGAGUAUGGAUUCGGUCAAAACACCAUAAAAGAAAAAGAAAAGCUGCGCGCGAGUUAGAAACUCGGUUUGUUUCAGGUCGAGUUUGAGCAACUCCAUCCUUCCAUCCGUCAACACUCCACCUCUUUCCGAGGAACUGAAAGCUGCUUGCUGUGCAGCAACGGUUUGCUGUGUUUUCCUUAACCUGAGGACUUCAGGCUCGUCUCUCCAGCAGGUUAAGCGUCGGCACUUUUGUGACAUUAAAACGGAUUGAGCAGAUUUUUGCUCAUUUAAAAAGCACAAUGAAUCAGGAUUGGUCAGACUCAAAACAGUGACGGAGACGACGUAGAUUUUGAAAAACAGAUUAGUCACAAUAAACUC